GCGGCGGGCGCGGGACGCGGGGCGGCGGCCGCGGCGGGACUCGGGGACAUGCGGCCCGCCGAGCGCCGCGCCUUCGCGCACAAGAUCAACAGGACGGUGGCCGCAGAGGUGCGGAAGCAGGUGUCCCGGGAACGCAGUGGCUCCCCCAGCUCCAGCAGGCGCUGCAGCAGCUCCCUGGGGGUCCCACUGACUGAAGUUGUCGAGCCCCUGGACUUUGAGGAUGUACUUCUGAGCCGGCCACCAGACGCUGAACCCGGGCCCCUCAGGGACCUGGUCGAAUUCCCAGCUGACGACUUGGAGCUGCUGCUGCAGCCCCGGGAAUGCCGGACCACAGAACCCGGGAUCCCCAAGGAUGAAAAACUGGAUGCUCAGGUGAGGGCCGCAGUGGAGAUGUAUAUCGAGGACUGGGUCAUCGUCCACAGAAGGUAUCAGUAUCUGAGUGCAGCAUACAGCCCCGUCACCACGGAGACACAGCGAGAGCGACAGAAGGGCCUCCCCCGCCAGGUCUUUGAGCAGGAUGCUUCUGGAGACGAGAGGUCCGGCCCUGAGGACUCGAAUGACUCCCGGCGCGGCUCAGGCUCCCCGGAAGACACCCCUCGAAGCAGUGGUGCCUCUAGCAUCUUCGACCUGAGGAACCUGACAGCUGACUCAUUGCUGCCCUCGCUGCUAGAGCGGGCGGCCCCAGAAGAUGUGGACCGGCGCAAUGAAAGCCUUCGACGGCAGCACCGACCCCCGGCCCUGCUUACCCUCUACCCGGCGCCUGACGAGGACGAAGCUGUGGAACGCUGUAGCCGCCCAGAGCCACCCCGCGAGCACUUUGGACAGAGGAUCUUGGUCAAGUGUCUGUCACUCAAGUUUGAGAUUGAAAUUGAGCCCAUCUUUGGGAUCUUGGCUCUAUAUGACGUGCGGGAGAAAAAGAAGAUCUCGGAGAACUUCUACUUCGACCUGAACUCGGACUCCAUAAAGGGGCUGCUUCGGGCUCAUGGCACCCACCCUGCCAUCUCCACCUUGGCCCGCUCUGCCAUCUUCUCCGUGACCUACCCCUCACCUGACAUCUUCCUGGUCAUCAAGUUGGAGAAGGUGCUUCAGCAAGGGGACAUCAGUGAGUGCUGUGAGCCUUACAUGGUGAUGAAAGAAGUAGACACAGCCAAGAACAAAGAGAAGCUAGAGAAGCUGCGCCUGGCGGCUGAGCAGUUCUGCACCCGCCUGGGCCGCUACCGCAUGCCCUUUGCCUGGACGGCCGUGCACUUGGCCAACAUCGUGAGCAGCGCUGGGCAGCUGGAUCGGGACUCUGACUCGGAGGGCGAGCGCCGGCCAGCUUGGACAGACCGCCGCCGUCGGGGGCCCCAGGACCGGGCGAGUAGUGGGGACGACGCCUGCAGUUUCUCUGGCUUCCGCCCAGCCACGCUAACUGUCACAAACUUCUUUAAGCAGGAGGCUGAGCGACUUAGUGACGAGGACCUCUUCAAGUUCCUAGCUGACAUGAGGCGCCCGUCGUCCCUGCUGCGGCGACUACGUCCUGUGACUGCCCAGCUCAAGAUCGACAUUUCUCCAGCUCCGGAAAAUCCCCACUUCUGCCUCUCCCCCGAGCUGCUUCAUAUCAAGCCCUACCCGGACCCCAGGGGCCGGCCCACCAAGGAGAUCCUGGAGUUCCCUGCUCGCGAAGUCUAUGCCCCCCAUACCAGCUAUAGGAACCUGCUGUACGUGUACCCGCACAGCCUCAACUUCAGCAGCCGCCAGGGCUCCGUGCGCAACCUUGCCGUGCGAGUGCAGUACAUGACAGGCGAGGACCCCAGCCAGGCCCUGCCGGUCAUCUUUGGCAAGUCCAGCUGCAGUGAAUUUACCCGCGAGGCCUUCACACCGGUGGUCUACCAUAACAAGUCCCCUGAGUUCUACGAGGAGUUCAAGCUGCAUCUUCCAGCCUGCGUGACAGAGAACCAUCACCUGCUGUUCACCUUCUACCACGUCAGCUGCCAGCCCCGGCCGGGCACUGCCCUGGAGACGCCCGUGGGCUUUACUUGGAUCCCACUGCUGCAGCAUGGGCGCCUGAGGACCGGCCCCUUCUGUCUCCCGGUGUCCGUGGACCAGCCGCCGCCCAGCUAUUCCGUGCUCACACCCGAUGUGGCGCUGCCGGGCAUGCGCUGGGUGGACGGUCACAAGGGCGUGUUCAGUGUGGAGCUCACGGCCGUGUCCUCUGUGCACCCCCAGGACCCCCACCUGGACAAAUUCUUCACCCUGGUGCAUGUCCUGGAGGAGGGGGCCUUCCCAUUCCGGCUCAAGGACGCUGUGCUGAGCGAGGGCAACGUGGAGCAGGAGCUGCGGGCCAGUCUUGCAGCACUGCGCCUGGCCAGCCCCGAACCCCUCGUGGCCUUCUCCCACCACGUGCUGGACAAGCUCGUGCGUCUGGUCGUCAGGCCCCCGAUCAUCAGUGGCCAGAUUGUGAACCUGGGCCGUGGAGCCUUUGAAGCAAUGGCCCAUGUAGUCAGCCUUGUCCACCGGAGCCUGGAGGCAGCCCAGGAUGCCCGUGGUCACUGCCCACAGCUGGCUGCCUACAUCCACUACGCAUUUCGCCUGCCUGGCACUGAGCCCAGCCUCCCGGAUGGGGCCCCUCCAGUGACAGUGCAGGCUGCCACACUGGCCCGUGGCUCUGGUCGCCCCAUAAGCCUCUACCUGGCGCGUUCCAAAAGCAUCAGCAGCAGCAACCCCGACCUCGCCGUGGCCCCUGGCUCUGUGGAUGAUGAGGUUUCCCGCAUCCUGGCCAGCAAGGGCAUCGAUCGCUCACACUCCUGGGUGAAUUCCGCUUAUGCUCCAGGAGGCAGUAAGGCUGUGCUGCGGCGGGCGCCCCCUUACUGUGGGGCCGACCCCAGACAGGCCAUCGACCGCACCUCUAGCCGAGCCUCCUCCUACCUCGAGGGUUCCUCCUCAGCCCCACCAGCCACCCAGCCGAGACCCACUGUGCAGAAGCUGCUUCACGAGGAGCUGGCUCUGCAGUGGGUGGUCAGCAGCAGUGCCGUACGCGAGGCCAUCCUCCAGCACGCCUGGUUCUUCUUCCAGCUCAUGGUGAAGAGUAUGGCACUGCACCUGCUUCUUGGCCAGCGACUAGACACACCCCGCAAGCUGCGCUUCCCUGGGCGCUUCCUGGACGACAUCACUGCCCUGGUGGGCUCUGUGGGCCUGGAGGUCAUCACCCGUGUCCACAAGGAUGUGGAGCUGGCCGAGCGCCUCAACGCCAGCCUGGCCUUCUUCCUCAGUGACCUUCUGUCCCUGGUGGACCGGGGCUUUGUCUUCAGCCUGGUCCGGGCCCACUACAAGCAGGUGGCCACGCGGCUCCAGUCGUCCCCUAAUCCAGCGGCCCUGCUGACCCUGCGCAUGGAAUUCACCCGCAUCCUAUGCAGCCACGAGCACUACGUGACCCUCAACCUCCCCUGCUGCCCCCUGUCGCCCCCAGCCUCGCCCUCCCCCUCUGUGUCCUCCACCACAUCCCAGAGCUCCACCUUCUCCAGCCAAGCCCCGGACCCCAAGGUGACCAGUAUGUUCGAACUGAGUGGACCAUUCCGGCAGCAGCACUUCCUAGCUGGUCUCCUGCUGACAGAGCUGGCGCUGGCCCUUGAACCUGAGGCUGAGGGGGCAUUUCUGUUGCACAAGAAGGCCAUCAGUGCUGUGCACAGCCUGCUAUGUGGCCAUGACACUGAUCCCCGCUAUGCAGAGGCCACCGUGAAGGCUUGUGUGGCUGAGCUGUACCUGCCGCUGCUAUCGAUUGCACGGGACACCUUGCCACGGCUGCAUGACUUUGCUGAGGGUCCAGGUCAGCGGUCAAGACUGGCCUCAAUGCUUGACUCAGACACAGAAGGCGAAGGGGACAUUGUGGGUACCAUCAACCCCUCUGUGGCCAUGGCCAUUGCUGGUGGCCCCCUAGCCCCUGGCUCCCGGGCCAGCAUCUCCCAGGGGCCGCCAACGGCUUCUCGCGCAGGCUGUGCCCUCUCUGCUGAGUCAAGCCGGACCUUGCUGGCGUGUGUGCUGUGGGUGCUGAAAAAUGCCGAGCCGGCACUCCUGCAGCGCUGGGCCACUGACCUGACACUCCCCCAGCUGGGACGUCUCUUGGACUUGCUGUACCUCUGCCUGGCUGCCUUCGAGUACAAGGGGAAAAAGGCCUUUGAACGCAUCAACAGCCUCACAUUCAAAAAAUCGCUGGAUAUGAAGGCACGUCUAGAGGAAGCCAUCCUGGGCACCAUCGGAGCUCGACAAGAAAUGGUUCGGCGAAGUCGUGAGAGGAGCCCAUUUGGGAAUCCAGAGAACGUGCGCUGGCGGAAGAGCGUCACACACUGGAAGCAAACCUCAGACCGCGUGGACAAGACCAAGGAUGAAAUGGAACACGAGGCCUUGGUGGAAGGGAACCUGGCAACCGAGGCAAGCCUAGUAGUUCUGGACACACUGGAGAUCAUCGUGCAGACGGUGAUGCUUUCAGAAGCCCGGGAGAGCGUCUUAGGGGCAGUGCUGAAGGUUGUGCUGUACAGCCUGGGCAGUGCCCAGAGUGCCCUCUUCUUGCAGCAUGGCCUGGCCACCCAGAGGGCCCUUGUGUCCAAGUUCCCGGAGCUGCUGUUUGAGGAGGACACGGAGCUGUGUGCUGACCUGUGCCUGAGGCUCCUACGACACUGUGGCAGCCGCAUCAGCACCAUCCGCACGCACGCCAGCGCCUCACUGUACCUGCUCAUGCGACAGAACUUCGAGAUCGGCCACAACUUUGCCCGUGUGAAGAUGCAGGUCACCAUGUCUCUCUCGUCCCUGGUGGGGACAACACAGAACUUCAGUGAAGAGCACUUGCGACGUUCACUCAAAACCAUCCUCACCUAUGCUGAGGAGGACGUGGGGCUGCGGGACAGCACCUUCGCGGAGCAGGUCCAGGACCUGAUGUUCAACCUGCACAUGAUCCUGACGGACACGGUGAAGAUGAAGGAACACCAGGAGGACCCUGAGAUGCUCAUCGACCUCAUGUACAGAAUUGCCCGGGGCUACCAGGGCUCACCAGACCUGCGGCUGACCUGGCUGCAGAACAUGGCCGGGAAGCACGCGGAGCUGGGCAACCAUGCCGAGGCCGCCCAGUGCAUGGUGCAUGCAGCCGCCCUCGUGGCUGAGUACCUCGCCCUGCUUGAGGACCACCGCCACCUGCCCGUGGGCUGUGUUUCCUUCCAGAACAUCUCAUCCAACGUGCUAGAGGAGUCCGCCAUCUCCGAUGACAUCCUGUCGCCCGACGAGGAGGGCUUCUGCUCCGGGAAGCACUUCACUGAGCUGGGGCUGGUAGGGUUGCUGGAACAGGCAGCCGGCUACUUCACCAUGGGUGGACUCUACGAGGCGGUGAAUGAGGUCUACAAGAACCUCAUCCCCAUCCUGGAAGCCCACCGUGACUACAAGAAGUUGGCCGCGGUGCACGGCAAACUGCAGGAGGCCUUCACCAAGAUCAUGCACCAGAGUUCCGGCUGGGAGGUGAGUCAGCCUCAGUGGACAGCCACCUGCCUCCGGGACCCCCGCGAUGACUGGCCAGCAGCCAUCAGUGAACACCAGGGGGCGCCGGAGGAGCAUGGCCGCUGGCCAUUGGGGCUGGGGCUGUGGCCACAAGGCACCCACCCCAUCACUUCCCUCCCUUCCCUAAAAAUGCGCCACCCCCCGCCCCAGAUCUCGAGGGCAGCUUGUGACUCACCCAGCUGGGAGCUCUCCAGAGACACCCCUCCCUCUGCCAGGGCCAGCUUGGUCACUGCAGGGGGGUGGCAGGGUGGCUCUGACUCCCUCGUGGUCUCUUUCUCAUCUCUCCCCAUCUAUCACGUGGCUCUCCCUAUCUUGGUAUCUCUCUGUCUCUUAGUCUCUGUCUCUCCCUGCGUCUCCAGCUUCCAGCCUCCCCCAGGCUCUCCUCUGCUCCUCAUUUCUGGUUAAUGUGUCCCCCCGCUCCAGCAGCACCCCCCCAAUCCCGCUUCUUCUCUGCUUAGGUCUAUUUUUAGGCAUCUCCUAGUUUGGGGAGAAUGUUCUGGCCAAAGAUGGCAGAAACCCAGAGCCCAGGCAGGCCGGGUGGGAGCUGGGUGGGGAGGGCAGGUCCUCUUCGCCCCCACCCAUCUCCCAUCUCUGAUCUCUCUCCCCACGGAAUGAUUCUCACGGGGCAGUGUUAACCAGGACCCUGGGGGUUGAGGGAACUCUGACCUCUGACCUCUCCCAUGACAUUGUCUCUCUGUCCCCCACACCUCUGACCCCACCAUGUCUGCCCCACCCUCCCCGGAUCGGCCUUGGUAAGUGAACAUGCAGCCAUUCCACUUCCUUUCCAGUCAUGGGGUGGUGGUUUUGGGGUGGUAGGGAGGGGGUUCCUUCUUCCAAACUUAGGGCCGGGGACAGGAGCAGGGGAAUGCCAUGGAACAAGGGAACCAGAGCCUCUGUCCUACAGUGAGAGACAGCCAUCCCUUCCCUCAGCCAUCCAAGCACUUAUUGGGCACCUACUGUAUACCCAUUCUUGCGGGCAUCGGGGCACGGGAAGGAGAAUGCCCUAGAACAAAGGAGUCAGAGCCUCUGUCCUAGAGUGAGAGGCAGCCAUCCUUCUCCUCAGCCAUCCAAGCAUUUAUUGGCUCCAGCGCGUGUUCGGGACGUAUUUCCGCGUGGGCUUCUACGGCGCCCGCUUUGGCGACCUGGAUGAGCAGGAGUUUGUGUACAAGGAGCCA